rnacentral:rRNA from 1 species
GGCGGCCCCCGGGGCAGAGNCNGCCNCUCGGAUGCGGAAGCGUGGGGAGCAAACAGGAUUAGAUACCCUGGUAGUCCACGCCGUAAACGAUGUCUACUUGGAGGUUGUGGCCUUGAGCCGUGGCUUUCGGAGCUAACGCGUUAAGUAGACCGCCUGGGGAGUACGGUCGCAAGAUUAAAACUCAAAUGAAUUGACGGGGGCCCGCACAAGCGGUGGAGCAUGUGGUUUAAUUCGAUGCAACGCGAAGAACCUUACCUACUCUUGACAUCUACAGAAGCCAGCGGAGACGCAGGUGUGCCUUCGGGAACUGUAAGACAGGUGCUGCAUGGCUGUCGUCAGCUCGUGUUGUGAAAUGUUGGGUUAAGUCCCGCAACGAGCGCAACCCUUAUCCUUGUUUGCCAGCACUUCGGGUGGGAACUCCAGGGAGACUGCCGGUGAUAAGCCGGAGGAAGGUGGGGACGACGUCAAGUCAUCAUGGCCCUUACGAGUAGGGCUACACACGUGCUACAAUGGCGCAUACAGAGGGCGGCCAACUUGCGAAAGUGAGCGAAUCCCAAAAAGUGCGUCGUAGUCCGGAUUGGAGUCUGCAACUCGACUCCAUGAAGUCGGAAUCGCUAGUAAUCGUGGAUCAGAAUGCCACGGUGAAUACGUUCCCGGGCCUUGUACACACCGCCCGUCACACCAUGGGAGUGGGCUGCAAAAGAAGUGGGUAGUUUAACCUUCGGGAGGACGCUCACCACUUUGUGGUUCAUGACUGGGGUGAAGUCGUAACAAGGUAACCG